CUCCGCCCUUUCGAGGGAACAAAGCGAAUAAGAGUCCCAUCGGCCUUCUCUGUGAGCGUUUAAUCCCACUUUCUCGUUUCUCACCUCGGAAACAAGCCCAGUCUCCAUCCUUGCGUGUGCGUGUGCGUGUGCGUGUGCGUGUGCGCGCGCGUCUGUGUUCCCUUGGAACCUCUUGUUUCUAAUUUUUAGUUUGGCCGGGUUAUCCAGUUGGUGGUCAGAUUUUAUCGCAGCAGUUGAAAUUUUGGUAUCAAUUUUGAAACUAGUUCCGGGUGUCGCCAUUUUGCUUAUUUGGGCCUUUUUGGUAUGCUUAUUAUUUGGGUAUCUGGGUUCGAGAUUUGCUACGUUAAUGUUUUGUAAUAUAAAACCCAAGUUGUGAAUGUAAGUGGAUGAGUGAGAUAUAUAUUAAAGAUGGCCCGACUCCGACUGGAUUAAUAGCCGGGCUUGGGAGUUGUCCCUAUUUUGUUCCUGUACGUAUAGUCCCUUCCUUGACUUGGAACUGACGAGGCGGCGAUCCGCGGCAAGCAGCCACCACGAGGAGAUGGAGAAGUCCGGCAGUAAGCCGUCACACUCCCGUCUGUGUCUGAUGGCCGCCCUCUCGGCCGCCUUUUGGAUCUUGACCUUCUGCUUCCAUUUCUCAGUCCUCGGGACCACUUCCUGGUGGCCGGGCGUAUCACGUGGGAUGCCCUACCCCAACCUACUUUCACCCGGCGAAGGACGCCGACGUUUUCAGCUGGCAGGAUAGAAUGCGCAAAUUAGAUCGGAGAUGGCUAUUCUCCUUCGCGGGGGCGCCUCGUCCUCGUAAUCCCGAGUCGAUCAGAGGACAGAUUAUUGAUCAGUGCAAGGCACCCGGUGUGUGCAGACUGCUGGAGUGUGAUCUCGGGGAAAGUGCGUGCCGUUCUCCGAGCAACAUUACGCACAUGUUUCAGAGCUCCUUAUUUUGCCUGCAACCUCAUGGCGAUUCGUAUACGAUCGAGGAGAUCAGCUUUUGACCCGAUGUUGGCUGGACGAAGAGAGGAGCCAGUAGGAUCAAAGGAUAUCAGCUUCAUUAUUUCUUAUGAUGAUCAUCUUGGUGCAUUUGGUGAGAUCAUUUAUUGAAGCUUUUAAGAAGCCAUGCCUAUAACCGUGGUAAAACUGGAAUGUUUGGUUCGUCCGACAUUCUUUCUAUAUAUAUUGAUCUUUUUUUCUUUUUUUUUUUUUUUUUGUAGUUUGUAGCUUUCAUUGAACGUAUUCUCUGUAAUUUCUUAAAGGAUCUACAAAUAGAAGGCACUAGUGUUGCUGUAUCUUUUGUUUCAAUUGGUGUAAUCUAGUCAAAGCAGAAGAGAAUGUAAUCUAGUCAAAGCAGA